CGAUGAGGUAGAGGUGCAUUUAGCAUGAAUACCCUAUGGGAGGAUGACAACGAGGAUCAUAGGGGGAAAGGGCUACUUGCCGAAGUAUAAAAUAGGUGUCUACCUACUUAUGCUGGUAUGUUCUUGAAUAAAGAAUAUACUGUCAUGCAAAUCUGAACGUAUGGAUUGCAUGAUGCGCUACUGAUCGA
rnacentral:ncRNA from 2 species